GCAGAGGAACACGACUGUGAUCCUGAAUAAACUGUUUGAUCUGCUUCUGAAGAGCCAGAAAUCAGGAUCAUCAUGAAGAUCGUGCUGGUGUUCGUGGCCGUGAGCUUUAUUGCCCUCUCCUGUGCCGUUCCUGUUGAGGAGGAGCAUGAACGAGAGAAGCGCUCGUCCAGCGGUGAG